rnacentral:rRNA from 1 species
CACGGGGGGAGCAAGCGUUGUUCGGAAUCACUGGGCGUAAAGGGCGUGUAGGCGGUCAAGUAAGUGGAAUGUGAAAGCCCCCGGCUUACCCGGGGAUCUGCAUCCCAAACUGCUUGGCUUGAGUAUGGGAGAGGAUGGAGGAAUUCCUGGUGUAGCGGUGAAAUGCGUAGAUAUCAGGAGGAACACCGGUGGCGAAGGCGUCCAUCUGGCCCAAUACUGACGCUGAGGCGCGAAAGCUAGGGGAGCGAACGGG